AUUGAACGCUGGCGGCAGGCCUAACACAUGCACGUCGAACGAGUGGCGGACGGGUGAGUAAUGUCUGGGAAACUGCCUGAUGGAGGGGGAUAACUACUGGAAACGGUAGCUAAUACCGCAUACCAUCAGAUGUGCCCAGAUGGGAUGAGCUAGUAGGUGGGGUAACGGCUCACCUAGGCGACGAUCCCUAGCUGGUCUGAGUGGAUGACCAGCCACACUGGAACUGAGACACGGUCCAGACUCCUACGGGAGGCAGCAGGGGGGAAUAGUGCACAAUGGGCGAAAGCCUGAUGCAGCCAUGCCGCGGGUACGAAGAAGGCCUUCGGGUUGUAAAGUACUGUCAGCGGGGAGGCGUUACCAGCAGAAGAAGCACCGGCUAACUCCGUGCCAGCAGCCGCGGUAAUAC
rnacentral:rRNA from 1 species